AACGAACGCUGGCGGCGUGCCUAACACAUGCAAGUCGAACGAGAAAGGGGCUUCGGCUCCGAGUAAAGUGGCGCACGGGUGAGUAACACGUGGGUAACCUGCCUCUAAGAUUGGGAUAACUCGUCGAAAGAUGAGCUAAUACCGAAUAAGACCACAGUUCCCGCGGGAACAGGGGUCAAAGGUAGCCUCUGCCUGCAAGCUAUCACUUAGAGAUGGGCCUGCGCACCAUUAGCUAGUUGGUAGGGUAACGGCCUACCAAGGCAAAGAUGGUUAGCUGGUCUGAGAGGAUGAUCAGCCACACUGGAACUGAGACACGGUCCAGACUCCUACGGGAGGCAGCAGUGGGGAAUAUUGCGCAAUGGGCGAAAGCUUGACGCAGCAACGCCGCGUGAGUGAUGAAGGCCUUCGGGUCGUAAAGCUCUGUCGGGAGGAACGAAUGCUCCUGAGGUUAACAGCCUCGGGAGGUGACGGUACCUUCAAAGGAAGCACCGGCUAACUCUGUG
rnacentral:rRNA from 1 species